AACGCUAGCUACAGGCUUAACACAUGCAAGUCGAGGGGCAGCAUGAACUUAGCUUGCUAAGUUUGAUGGCGACCGGCGCACGGGUGAGUAACGCGUAUCCAACCUUCCGUACACUCAGGAAUAGCCUUUCGAAAGAAAGAUUAAUACCUGAUGGUAUGAUGAGAUUGCAUGAAAUCAUCAUUAAAGAUUCAUCGGUGUACGAUGGGGAUGCGUUCCAUUAGAUAGUAGGCGGGGUAACGGCCCACCUAGUCUACGAUGGAUAGGGGUUCUGAGAGGAAGGUCCCCCACAUUGGAACUGAGACACGGUCCAAACUCCUACGGGAGGCAGCAGUGAGGAAUAUUGGUCAAUGGGCGCGAGCCUGAACCAGCCAAGUAGCGUGAAGGAUGAAGGUCCUACGGAUUGUAAACUUCUUUUAUAAGGGAAUAAAGUCACCNACGUGUGGGUGUUUGUAUGUACCUUAUGAAUAAGCAUCGGCUAACUCCGUGCCAGCAGCCGCGGUAAUACGGAGGAUGCGAGCGUUAUCCGGAUUUAUUGGGUUUAAAGGGAGCGUAGACGGGUCGUUAAGUCAGCUGUGAAAGUUUGAGGCUCAACCUUAAAAUUGCAGUUGAUACUGGCGUCCUUGAGUACGGUUGAGGCAGGCGGAAUUCGUGGUGUAGCGGUGAAAUGCUUAGAUAUCACGAAGAACUCCGAUUG
rnacentral:rRNA from 1 species